GAUGAACGCUGGCGGCGUGCCUAAUACAUGCAAGUCGAGCGAACAGAUGAGGAGCUUGCUCCUCUGACGUUAGCGGCGGACGGGUGAGUAACACGUGGAUAACCUACCUAUAAGACUGGGAUAACUUCGGGAAACCGGAGCUAAUACCGGAUAAUAUAUUGAACCGCAUGGUUCAAUAGUGAAAUACGGUUUUGCUGUCACUUAUAGAUGGAUCCGCGCCGCAUUAGCUAGUUGGUAAGGUAACGGCUUACCAAGGCAACGAUGCGUAGCCGACCUGAGAGGGAGAUCGCCCACACUGGAACUGAGACACGGUCAAGAAUCCAAAGGGAGGCAGCAGUAGGGAAUCUUACGCAAUGGGAGAAAGCCUGACGGAGAAACGCCGCGUGAGUGAUGAAGGUCUUGGGAUCGUAAAAAUCUGUUAUUAGGGAAGAACAAAUGUGUAAGUAACUAUGCACGUCUUGACGGUACCUAAUCAGAAAGCCACGGCUAACUACGUG
rnacentral:rRNA from 1 species